UACGUAGGGUGCGAGCGUUUGUCCGGAAUUAUUGGGCGUAAAGAGCUCGUAGGCGGUGUGUCGCGUCUGCCGUGAAAAUUCGAGGCUCAACCUCGAACUUGCGGUGGGUACGGGCAGACUAGAGUGUGGUAGGGGAGACUGGAAUUCCUGGUGUAGCGGUGAAAUGCGCAGAUAUCAGGAGGAACACCGAUGGCGAAGGCAGGUCUCUGGGCCACUACUGACGCUGAGACGCGAAAGCGUGGGGAGCAAACAGG
rnacentral:rRNA from 1 species